rnacentral:misc_RNA from 1 species
AAGUCGUAACAAGGUUUCCGUAGGAUCAUUAACACGUAUCGCCCGUGCACGUUGAAAAAGAGAAAAUGGGAUCAGCUCUGCUGAUGAGGAACCGUUUGUGGUAGAUGAUGCGUUUGCGUACGAGAUGGAGAUACAGCGCGGUUGUUGGGGCUGUGCGAUGACAGAGGAAUCAACUGAUUAUUUCCUUAUGGAGUCCAGUCUCAACCUUCUGGGAAACUCCUGGUUCGUUGGUCUUCUGUGUCUUUGUUUUGUAGUGUGUUGUUGAUGGGGUUGGUAACCUUCUUUUUCUUCGAGUAACGUUGGCUAAUCUUUCAUGUGGGGAGUUGAACCAGGCCGCUUUAAUUGAAAAAUAAACCCGAACUAACCUGACAAAACCUGUCCGAAAGGACAACGAAACCCGAACCUGUUAACAAUGGAUAUCUUGGUUCUCA